ACUACCUGCCACACCACAAGAGGCUCAGUUUAUAAACUGCUGGUCCUUCACCAGCUCCUCUGCAAAUGAACAAACUGAUACUGAUCUCCCAAACCUACAGAUCCAUCUCUGGCUACUCCAGCAUUUCCAAUACCGGUCGUAAUUACCACACAGAGAAAAGAAUCAUGCAGGACAAAGAAUCAGUCAAAGGUAAAUCAGUGUUCCCACCUUUAUCAGACAAGUAACACUAAACAAGUUUCCUACGAUCUCUUACCUUGGAUUUCAGUACCCAAUGAGGGUGGGAAUGAUACCCCCCUACCUCCAUUCCACUCCCCUGCAUAGGGUGGCUGGAGAAUUAAACAGGACAGCGUUGGUGUUUUCCAUGCAAGGAACUUUCCAAAUUGUUGUUGCUGGGGAAAUUACUGCUAUAAAUUUUGGGCACCUACUUGAAUGUUUGGUCAUCUGACAAUGGGACUGAGCCUCUUGGUGGCCGGCCAGAAUCAACUGUGCCUGGACUCUAUGUUCUACUACCCUUUACAUCAUGACUAGUUGAUGCUCAUUGGAGACAACUUUCUAAUUGUCUGGGAGUCCAAAGGACCUUCUUGGUUAAAGUGUGUGCAGAGGGAAAAUAAGACAUGAUCUUUACAAAGAGUUCUUGGUUUUUUUGUUUGUUGUUGUUGUUUUCUAUGACUACAAAGUAACCUAUCCACUCUGACCCUGAGUUGGUAAGGUGGGGAGAGAUGUAACUUAAUCGUGUAAAUGCACAGUCUAGGUAAAAAUUAGAAGUCAUGGUUGGCUAGGUUAGUAAUCUUGAAGGAUUUAAAUUAUGGAGGCAUGUUUCUGAAGCAUUAUAUGCCAAAAAUAAUUUUUCUUCGGAGUUUUCUUCACUCAGAGCCUCAUACAACUAUUAUCAUGUGCUGCAGCAUUAUGAAAAAUCCUGUGAAAAUGACAUAUUGCUCCCUAGAGCUUACGGCUUCUGCCCAGAAAUGACAAGUCACCUCUGUUCUCCUUCAAUUGGGCCAAAGCAAGAUACAGGCCUUCCUAGGAAAGAGGUAGACAGAUGUUCAGUGUCUCAUACUCUGACAGAGAGGAUGACAGAUGUUUUUACGAUUUAUUCUAGUGGCUCUACAGUAGCUGUGGACAUGAGGACAUGGGCACUAAGGUUCAUAUUAUCACACACCCAACUCCCUGGCUGUAGAUGAAAUGUUACAUGAUUCCAUUUCUCUAAUCUGUGGGGUUUGGUCCAACUCCAUCACUAACAAGAUGGGUACAAGUUACAAGACCUCUCUGCCCCCUGAUUCCUCACUUAAAGAAUUAGGUUUUUUUUUUAUAAGGAUGGACAUGAGAGGGCUUGGAAACAGGUCUUUACCUUUAUGAAUAUUGCUCAAUAGGCUGAGCACUCCCUGGAAUGUAUCAGGAAGACUUGCCAGAGUUACUGUACGCGUAUUCAGGAGCCUUCUCUUCUCAUACAACCCAGGGAGUAAGAGCAGGGCAGGACAUAAAUAGCAGCUAGUCCUUCAGGAAGAGGGCCUUUCUGAGGUGAUACUGGAGCAGAAAACUGAGUGUGCAGUAGAGACAGACACUGGUGCAAUUGACCCAAGAAGGAGAACAAACAGCAGAUGCAAAGAUAUGGAGGCUUGAGUUGAGACCUAUUUGUGGAAUGGGGCCAGGGAGGGUUAGGAUGGGAACUGUCAACAGCAAUAACAACUACCACUUAGGAGCCUAACUGGGGUUCAUAUAUCACCCCCCACCCAGCACUAGAACUACUAUAUUCCCUUGCUUAUCUAAAGUACUUUCUAUUAUUCCAUCUCAUGUCUUUUAUGGUGCAAGUAGCUAGUUCGCAUCAUUCUUUUUAGCCAAUAGGCACAUAAGACCUCCCUGAGCCUGAGGUCUUGGUUUUUAUCUUCUACCCCAUCAUUGAAUAAGCAUGCCAACCCCUUUGGCGCCUCUGGUGAGCAGUGCUAUUCUCUCUCUUCCCCUGACUCCCUGUUCUGUCUUAGUCUCUUAGGAUUGCAGUGACAAACACCAUCAUGGAGUAACUCAUGAACAUCAGAACUUAGUCCUGAAGCCUCGAUGGGCCAUAACCAGAGUGCUAGACCACCAGGUUCUACUGAGGAUUGGUGGAAGCUAGGAGAGCUCCCUACGGUUUCUUCUGUAUGAGCACACUGCAUUCACAAGUUCUCUAUCCUCCUGGCCUCUUACCUUCCCAAGGCACACACGCUAAAUGGCUGGCAUCAUAAUGAAUGUAGGCCAACAGCAUAUGAAUUUAGGGGAGAUACAAACAUUAACUCUCAAUAAUUGCCUUACCCAUCUCUAAUUUCUGUAGCAGUACCUGCUUUCCUACAUUGGUUUCCCAACUUACUCGGAAAAGAUGAUGUCUAUAUUUUUCCACUCAUUUUAUUAUAAUCCAGGGUGAAAACACUGUCACACUUUCAUCUUUAUUAGCCAUUUCUACUUCUUCAGGAAAUUAUGUAUUGCUUUGUCAAUCUUUUGGUUAAGAUAUGGAGUUUUCCAUAUAGCUUUGAAAUCAGUUUGUGUAUGGGGAUUUGAGCCUUCCAUCCCAUCCAUGACAUAAGUUAUUUCUCUGAGUUUUAAAAUUUAUCUUUGAGUGUGCAUAGCAUAGAUUUUCCUUUAACAAAAUGGCUCCUGCAGUUCUUACCUCAAAAUUAUUUUUAAAAUAUUCACUCAUUCUUGUUCAAUAUUUAUGUGCUGGUGUUAUUUACACAUAAAUCUUUGGUCUGUCUGAAAUUUAUUUUGGUUUAAAGGGUGAUAUAAAGAUCCAGAUUUAUUCUUUUUUUCCAGAGAAGUCCACAGCUGCUUCAACUCUUAUUUGGCAAACAGUCGUCUGCAUCCCACCUCGCAGCCAGCCACUGAGCAGCGUUCGGGCUUGACUUUGUGGGUUCUGGAUGCUCUUUUCUGCCUUUUCCCCCAUCAUCAAUCUGCAAUUCCUUCAGUUAUCUUCAGAUCUGCGACACUGCAUCCUUCCUCUUGUGCUUUCUAUCGUGAAGAUGUUUGAAAUCGUUAUUUAUCUGCGAUGAAAAUCUUAAAAACCUACUCUGUUGACUCCUUU
rnacentral:lncRNA from 1 species